rnacentral:rRNA from 1 species
UAAUUUGAGAGUUUGAUCCUGGCUCAGGACGAACGCUGGCGGCGUGCCUAAUACAUGCAAGUCGAACGAACUCUGGUAUUGAUUGGUGCUUGCAUCAUGAU